rnacentral:rRNA from 1 species
GGAAACAGGUGCUAAUACCGUAUAACACUAUUUUCCGCAUGGAAGAAAGUUGAAAGGCGCUUUUGCGUCACUGAUGGAUGGACCCGCGGUGCAUUAGCUAGUUGGUGAGGUAACGGCUCACCAAGGCCACGAUGCAUAGCCGACCUGAGAGGGUGAUCGGCCACACUGGGACUGAGACACGGCCCAGACUCCUACGGGAGGCAGCAGUAGGGAAUCUUCGGCAAUGGACGAAAGUCUGACCGAGCAACGCCGCGUGAGUGAAGAAGGUUUUCGGAUCGUAAAACUCUGUUGUUAGAGAAGAACAAGGAUGAGAGUAGAACGUUCAUCCCUUGACGGUAUCUAACCAGAAAGCCACGGCUAACUACGUGCCAGCAGCCGCGGUAAUACGUAGGUGGCAAGCGUUGUCCGGAUUUAUUGGGCGUAAAGCGAGCGCAGGCGGUUUCUUAAGUCUGAUGUGAAAGCCCCCGGCUCAACCGGGGAGGGUCAUUGGAAACUGGGAGACUUGAGUGCAGAAGAGGAGAGUGGAAUUCCAUGUGUAGCGGUGAAAUGCGUAGAUAUGUGGAGGAACACCAGUGGCGAAGGCGGCUCUCUGGUCUGUAACUGACGCUGAGGCUCGAAAGCGUGGGGAGCGAACAGGAUUAGAUACCCUGGUAGUCCACGCCGUAAACGAU